UACUGCAUCUAUAUGUAUAUCUGUACUAAACACCGGGCAACUAUCCCCGAGAACGUCUCCCGUCGAUUGUAUGUUGGACAUUGAUUUGAAAUACUGAGCUAUGCUCUACGGGUUUUAUGUUUUACGUAAUCUAGGUUUGAAUGUAUUAAUUUUUAAAUAUGUAAACGCCCUGUGAAUAGUGGUAAGAGAACAAAAAUUAGCAUAAACAGUCGAUAAGCAGAAAUCGGUCUGAGUGUGAUUGAAACAACGCAACAUUCUAUAGAGGUUGGUUGUGGACGUAAGGCGUGAUGUGCGCAGAAAUGGAGAAGGAGUGAUUAUGAGUGGAGAAUGAGGGACCACGGAAACGGACGUUUUAUAACAAGCCAGAAGCAUUGAGAGUAAUGUGUCUUACCGAUCAGCGUUUAGAAGUCUUUAUGGUAUAGGUUUGGCUAUAAGUAUCUAUAUAUUUCACAAUUUUUGCGAACCU